rnacentral:rRNA from 1 species
GUGGGGAAUAUUGGACAAUGGGCGAAAGCCUGAUCCAGCCAUGCCGCGUGUGUGAAGAAGGUCUUCGGAUUGUAAAGCACUUUAAGUUGGGAGGAAGGGCAUUAACCUAAUACGUUAGUGUUUUGACGUUACCGACAGAAUAAGCACCGGCUAACUUCGUGCCAGCAGCCGCGGUAAUACGAAGGGUGCAAGCGUUAAUCGGAAUUACUGGGCGUAAAGCGCGCGUAGGUGGUUUUGUAAGGUGGAGGUGAAAUCCCCGGGCUCAACCUGGGAACUGCCUCAAAAACUGCAUGACUAGAGUACGGUAGAGGGUAGUGGAAUUUCCUGUGUAGCUGUGAAAUGCGUAGAUAUAGGAAGGAACACCAGGGGCGAAGGCGACUACCUGGACUGAUACUGACACUGAGGUGCGAAAGCGUGGGGAGCAAACAGGAUUAGAUACCCGUGUAGUCC